rnacentral:rRNA from 1 species
CCUACGGGUGGCAGCAGUGAGGAAUAUUGGUCAAUGGGCGCGAGCCUGAACCAGCCAAGUAGCGUGAAGGAUGACUGCCCUACGGGUUGUAAACUUCUUUUAUAAAGGAAUAAUGUGAGGCACGUGUGGCUUUAUGCAUGUACCUUAUGAAUAAGCAUCGGCUAACUCCGUGCCAGCAGCCGCGGUAAUACGGAGGAUCCGAGCGUUAUCCGGGUUUAUUGGGUUUAAAGGGUGCGUAGAUGGGUUGUUAAGUCAGUUGGUAAAGUUUGGGGCUCAACCGUAAAAUUGCAAUUGAUACUGGAAGUCUUGAGUACAGUUGAGGUAGGCGGAAUUCGUGGUGUAGCGGUGAAAUGCUUAGAUAUCACGAAGAACUCCGAUUGCGAAGGCAGCUUACUAGACUGCCACUGACAUUGAUGCUCGAGAGUGUGGGUAGCAAACAGGAUUAGAUACCCGGGUAGUC